rnacentral:ncRNA from 1 species
ACAGCCUGAGGACCGGAAAACCUGCCGCCGGCCCGCCUUGAUAAAUUUUUUCUCAAGGAAACAAGGUGCGAUGUGGGGAAAGCAGUCCCACCAGGCUGU